rnacentral:misc_RNA from 1 species
UCUCCGUUGGUGAACCAGCGGAGGGAUCAUUAUAGAGUUUUAUAACUCCCAACCCUUUGUGAACUUACCUUUGUUGCCUCGGCGGGACCUACCCUGUAGCGGGCUGCCGGCGGACCUCUAAACUCUUGUUAUACUAUUGUAAUCUGAGCGUCUUAUUUUAAUAAGUCAAAACUUUCAACAACGGAUCUCUUGGUUCUGGCAUCGAUGAAGAACGCAGC